AGUCGAGCGGUAAGGCCCCUUCGGGGGUACACGAGCGGCGGACGGCUGAGUAACACGUAGGAACGUACCCCAAAGUGAGGAAUAACUGCCCGAAAGGGUAGCUAAUGCCGCAUGUGCUCUUCGGAGUAAAGACUUCGGUCGCUUUGGGAACGGCCUGCGUCCGAUUAGCUAGAUGGUGAGGUAAUGGCUCACCAUGGCGACGAUCGGUAGCUGGUCUGAGAGGAUGAUCAGCCAGACUGGGACUGAGACACGGCCCAGACUCCUACGGGAGGCAGCAGUAGGGAAUUUUCCACAAUGGACGAAAGUCUGAUGGAGCAACGCCGCGUGCAGGAUGAAGGCUCUCGGGUCGUAAACUGCUUUUAUCUGUGACGAUUAUGACGGUAGCAGAUGAAUAAGGAUCGGCUAACUCCGUGCCAGCAGCCGCGGUCAUACGGAGGAUCCAAGCGUUAUCCGGAAUUACUGGGCGUAAAGAGUUGCGUAGGUGGCAUUGUAAGUAGGGCGUGAAAGCGUGCGGCUCAACCGCAUAUCCAUUCCCUAAACUGCAAAGCUUGAGGACAAGAGAGGUAGUUGGAAUUCCCAGUGUAGGAGUGAAAUCCGUAGAUAUUGGGAGGAACACCGAUGGCGUAGGCAGACUACUGG
rnacentral:rRNA from 1 species